rnacentral:rRNA from 1 species
UACAGAGGGGGCAAGCGUUGUUCGGAAUUACUGGGCGUAAAGCGCACGUAGGCGGAUUGUUAAGUCAGGGGUGAAAUCCCGGGGCUCAACCCCGGAACUGCCUUUGAUACUGGUAGUCUCGAGUCCGGAAGAGGUGAGUGGAAUUCCGAGUGUAGAGGUGAAAUUCGUAGAUAUUCGGAGGAACACCAGUGGCGAAGGCGGCUCACUGGUCCGGUACUGACGCUGAGGUGCGAAAGCGUGGGGAGCAAACAGG